rnacentral:rRNA from 1 species
UACGGAGGGAGCUAGCGUUGUUCGGAAUUACUGGGCGUAAAGCGCGCGUAGGCGGUCUAUUAAGUCAGGGGUGAAAUCCCGGGGCUCAACCCCGGAACUGCCCUUGAAACUGGCAGACUAGAAUUUUGGAGAGGCGAGUGGAAUUCCGAGUGUAGAGGUGAAAUUCGUAGAUAUUCGGAAGAACACCAGUGGCGAAGGCGACUCGCUGGACAAGUAUUGACGCUGAGGUGCGAAAGCGUGGGGAGCAAACAGG